rnacentral:rRNA from 1 species
CCAGACUCCUACGGGAGGCAGCAGUGGGGAAUAUUGGGCAAUGGGCGCAAGCCUGACCCAGCAACGCCGCGUGAAGGAAGAAGGCUUUCGGGUUGUAAACUUCUUUUGACAGGGAAGAGCAGAAGACGGUACCUGUCGAAUAAGCCACGGCUAACUACGUGCCAGCAGCCGCGGUAAUACGUAGGUGGCAAGCGUUGUCCGGAUUUACUGGGUGUAAAGGGCGUGUAGCCGGGAAGGCAAGUCAGAUGUGAAAUCCGGGGGCUCAACCUCCGAAUUGCAUUUGAAACUGUUUUUCUUGAGUACUGGAGAGUCAGACGGAAGUCCUUGGGUAGCGGUGAAAGGCGUAGAUAUAAGGAGGAACUCCAGUGGCGAAGGCGGUCUGCUGGACAGCAACUGACGUUGAGGCGCGAACGCGUGGGGAUCACACAGGAUUAGAUACCCCCUUAA